CCAAUAGCGUAUAUUAAAGUUGUUGUGGUUAAAAAGCUCGUAGUUGAACCUUGGGCCUGGCUGGCCGGUCCGCCUCACCGCGUGUACUGGUCCGGCCGGGCCUUUCCCUCUGUGGAACCUCAUGCCCUUCACUGGGUGUGACGGGGAAGCAGGACUUUUACUGUGAAAAAAUUAGAGUGCUCCAAGCAGGCCUAUGCUCGAAUACAUUAGCAUGGAAUAAUAAAAUAGGACAUGCGGUUCUAUUUUGUUGGUUUCUAGGACCGCCGUAAUGAUUAAUAGGGACAGUCGGGGGCAUCAGUAUUCAAUUGUCAGAGGUGAAAUUCUUGGAUUUAUUGAAGACUAACUACUGCGAAAGCAUUUGCCAAGGAUGUUUUCAUUAAUCAGGAACGAAAGUUAGGGGAUCGAAGACGAUCAGAUACCGUCGUAGUCUUAACCAUAAACUAUGCCGACUAGGGAUCGGACGAUGUUAUUUUUUGACUCGUUCGGCACCUUACG
rnacentral:misc_RNA from 1 species